CUCUUCGUGGCCUGAUUAAGACAGUCUCUGGGCCUAUGACCACCGGAUCCCCUUGAUUCUGUGACCAGAACACCCAUUUCGGGCACCUUUCCAACUGCGUGUUCCUGGGUCCAUGGUGGAAGAGUGAAAGGCAUUUUGAAAAUACAGCCUAAAUGUCACACACGACGACAGAAAAAUGUGCUCCCAGCAAGAGACAGAGUUUCCUCCCAUGAACUAGGGAGCUGGGUGAAGGAGUGACGCAGUCUGAGACUGAGAUCUCCACGGCAGCAGGAAGCCUCACCUAGGUUGUGACCUUUGCUUUCUAAUCCAGUUUGUAUGAAAAUGUCCUGCAGGGCGGUGGUGGCACUCUCCUUUAAUCCAGCACUCGGGAGGCAGAGGCAGGCCCUUCACCAUACUCAACAGUGGACCUUCUUUUCUGCCUUCAGGGCUGCUGGUCCUGGGCUCUGUAGCUCCUGGCUAGCAGAAGGAUUAGAAAGGAAGGAGAGGAAGGCAGUCUCUUUUUUGGCCCAGGAUGCAUCAUUUCUGUUCAUCUUGCAUGAACAACCCAGGUUGGGAAAUAAAGCCUCCACUUGACUGGUUAAGUACCAGUUCCACCCUUGGGAGUGAGAGGGUUUGAUCAUAUGUGAGACACUUGUCUGGUACCUCAUGGGCAUAUGUGACAUUUGAGGAAGAAUUGUCUUUAACUAAAAACAUUGUAUUUAUGUGUGUGUACCUGCUUAUCUGUAUAUGCACUAUAUGUGUGCAGUACUUGUGGAGUCCAGAAGAGGGCACUGGAUCCCCUGGAAUCCAGUUACAGGUGGUUGUGAAUUGCUAGGUAUAGUUGGGAAUCUAGCCUGGGUCCUCUGCAAGAGCAGCCAGUGUUCUUAACUGCUGAACCAUCUCUUCAGUCCUGAGAAAGGAUUUUCUGAUUCUUUUGAAUAAAAAAAAAUUGAGUAUCCUUAUAGUUAAUUUUUACUUAUUUCAGAAUUAUUCUAAACAACAAUGAUAUGCUUAGCUAUAUUAAAAAAUAAACAAAAGUUAUUGUA